UAUUUGAAGAGUCACCUGUCUACAAAGACACUUGAGAACCUUCCUGGUAUGGCUUCAGGGAGAUAAAGGCAAACACAGGCUAUGUCAUUAUGAAGCCAGUCUUGGAGGGGGCAGCAGAGCCUGGCAAAAAGCAUUGCAUGGGCACAGAAAGCAGCUACCAUUUAUUAAGCACUAACUACGUAAAUUCCAUGAUUACAUCUAUUAUUUCAUUUAAUCUGCUUGCUCUGCAUCUUGACAGCUCAGCACACUUCCAGCAAUCCAACUAGCCAUCUUCUCUGAUUCUCUUCAACUGGGCUGCUGAAAGCUACUUGAAAAAAUUUUCAAAAACCUGUGAAUUGGUAUUCAACCUCAGUUGAACCCUCUCUAUACUUCCUGGAAAUUACUGUCUAUAUCCCGAAGUCAAUGAUACUUAUGGUGUGGUCCUCUGGACUAGCAACACCAGCAUCACCUGGGAACUUGAAAGAAAAGAGCGACCGGGGAAGAAGGAGAGUCAGGAAUAGGAGAAGGAUAUGGAAUGUGUGGCUAAUUGCCUCCGUGAACAACUGCCUCCUUUGCCAUGAAACCAGAAGAUCUUAAUGGUGUCCGGCUACCAUUAUAGAACACUUUACUCAAAGAAUCUGUAGAAGAAUCCUGAUCAAAAAGGGGAAAAAUGUCAAAGAGAAUUUCAAAUUCUCAUGGAAUCCAGACUUUCCGGAGUCAUUGAGGCUGGAUGGCUCCCUGAAACUAUUGCCCUGAGAUGACAUGAUCUUAUACACAGAAAACCCUAAGGAAUCCUCAAGAAAACUACUGAAACUAAUAGAAGAGUUCAGCAGAGUAUCGGGAUACAAGAUGAACAUACAAAAAUCAAUUGGAUUCCUCUAUGCCAACAAAAAGAACAUCGAAGAGGAAAUCACCAAAUCAAUGCCAUUUACAGUAGCCCCCAAGAAGAGAAAAUACUUAGGAAUAAAUCUUACCAAAGAUGUAAAAGACUUAUACAGAGAAAAGUAGAGUACACUUCUGCAAGAAACCGAAAAAGACUUACAUAAGUGGAAGAACAUACCUUGCUCAUGGGUAGGUAGAGUUAGCAUUAUAAAAAUGUCUAUUCUACCAAAAACGAUCUAUACAUUUAACGCAAUAUCAAUCCAAAUCCCAAGGACAUUCUUUAAUGAGAUGGAGAAACAAAUCACCAAUUCCAUAUGAAAGGGAAAGAUGCCCCAGAUAAAUAAGGCAUUACUGAAAAAGAAGAACAAGGUGGGAGGCCUUACUUUACCUGAUUUUAGAACCUAUUAUACUGCCACAGUAGUCAAAACUGCCUGAUACUGGUAAAACAACAGAUACAUGGAUCAAUGGAACAGAAUUGAGAAUCCAGACAUAAAUCCAUCCACAUAUGAACAGUUGAUAUUUGACAAAGGCCCCAAAACAGUUAAAUGGGGAAAAGACGGUCUUUUUAACAAAUGGUGCUGGCAUAGCUGGCUAUCCAUCUGCAAAAAAAUGGAACAAGACCCAUACCUCACUCCAUGCACAAAAACUAACUCAAAAUCGAUCAUAGACCUAAAUAUAAAAUCUAAAACGAUAAAGAUCAUGGAAGGAAAAAUAGGGACAAUGUUAGGAGCCCUAAUGAAUGGCAUAAACAGUAUACAAAACAGUAUAAAGAAUGUAGAAAAAAACUAGAUAACUGGGAGCUCCUAAAAAUCAAACACCUAUGCUCAUCCAAAGACUUCACCAAAAGAGUAAGAAGACUACCUACAGACUGGGAAAGAGCUUUUAGCUAUGACAUUUCUGAUCAGCGCCUGAUCUCAAAAUCUACAUGACACUGCAAAAACUCAACUGCAAAAAGACAAAUAACCCAAUUAAAAAAUGGGCAAAAGAUAUGAAUAGACAUUUCACUAAAGAAGACAUUCAGGUAGCUAACAGAUACAUGAGGAAAUGUUCACGAUCAUUAGCCAUUAGAGAAAUGCAAAUCAAAACUACCAUGAGAUUCCAUCUCACUCCAACAAGGCUGGCAUUAAUCCAAAAAACACAAAAUAAUAAAUGUUGGAGAGGCUGUGGAGAGAUUGGAACACUUAUACACUGCUGGUGGGAAUGUCAAAUGGUACAACCACUUUGGAAAUCGAUUUGGCGCUUCCUUAAAAAGCUAGAAAUAGAACUACCAUACAAUCCAGCAAUCCCGCUCCUUGGAAUAUAUCCUAGAGAAAUAAGAGCCUUUACAAGAACAGAUAUAUGUACAGCCAUGUUCACUGCAGCACUAUUUACAAUAGCAAAAAGGUGAAAGCAACCAAGGUGCCCAUCAACGGAUGAAUGGAUAAAUAAAUUAUGGUAUAUUCACACAAUGGAAUACUACGCAUCGAUAAAGAACAGUGAGGAAUCUGUGAAGCAUUUCAUAACAUGGAGGAACCUGGAGGGCAUUAUGCUGAGUGAAAUUAGUCAGUUGCAAAAAGACAAAUAUUGUAUAAGACCACUAUUAUAAGAACUUGAGAAAUAGUUUGAACUCAGAAGAAAACAUUCUUUUGUGGUUACGAGAGGGGGGAGGGAGGGAGGAUGGGAGAGGGGCAUUCACUAAGUAGAUAGUAGAUAAGAACUACUUCAGGUGAAGGGAAAGACAGCACACAAUACAGCACACAAGACAGCACAAUUGGACUAAACCAAAAGCAAAGAAGUUUCCUGAAUAAACUGAAUGCUCCGAAGGCCAGUGUAGCAGGGGCAGGGGUCUGGGUACCAUGGUUUCAGGGGACAUUUAAGUCAAUUGGCAUAAUAAAAUCUAUUAAGAAAACAUUCUGCUUCCCACUUUGAAGAGUGGCGUCUGGGGUCUUAAACGCUAGCAAGCAGCCAUCUAAGAUGCAUCAAUUGGUCUCACCCCACCUGGAUCAAAGGAGAAUGAAGAACACCAAGGACACAAGGCGAUUAUGAGCCCAAGAGACAGAAAGGGCCACAUGAACCGGAGACUACAUCAUCCUGAGACCAGAAGAACUAGAUGGUGCCUGGCUACAACCGGUGACUGCCCUGACAGGGAACACAACAGAGAACCCCUGACGGAGCAGGAGAGCAGUGCGAUGCAGACCCCAAAUUCUCAUAAGACCAGAUGUAAUGGUCUGACUGAAAGUAGAAGGACCCCGGUGGUCAUGCCCCCCAGACCUCCUCUUGGCCCAAGACAGGAACCAUUCCCAAAGCCAACUCUUCAGACAUGGAUUGGACUGGACAAUGUGUUGGGGAGGGAUGCUGGUGAGGAGUGAAAGCUUCUUGGAUCAGGUGGACACUUGAGACUAUGUUGGCAUCUCCUGCCUGGAGGGGAGAUGAGAGGGUGGCAGGGGUUAGAAGCUGGUGAAAUGGAUGUGAAAAGAGAGGGUGGAGAGAGAGAGCAGACUGUCUCAUUAGGGGGAGAGUAAUUGGGAGUUUGUAAAAAAAAAAUUGGGAGUGUGUAGCAAGGUGUAUAUGGGUUUUGUGUGAGAGACUGACUUGAUUCGUAAACUUUCACUUAAAGCACAAUAAAAAUUAUUAAAAAAAAAAAAAGACUGCCUUGAAUGAAAGCUAAUUUUUCUACCACCACUGUGGAGUUCUCUAACAUGAGCACAGUCAAAUGCUGAUCCUGAAUAUAGCAUCAUUCCCUUUGGGGCCAAGCUUCUCAUUUAGUGGCAAGUUGACUCCAUCAUGUAGGGACAGUCAUUUGUCCUCGAGGAAAUAGAUACAUACUCUGCAUAAAGAUUUGCCCUCUUUGUCCACAAAUUUUUGGCUAUUACUACCAUUUGUGGACUUAAAAUGCCUUAUUCAUUGUUAAGGCUUUCUGUACAAAAAAAAAGCACUCACAAAUUGUAUAGUGAAAGAAGUGUAACAAUGGACAUACACCCACUGAAUACACUGGUCUUACUAUUCAUUUGCUCCAUCACCCAAAUGAUAGAAUAGAGGACUAUCCUCCUGAAGGCUCUAUCCCAGUGCAAUCUGAAACAACCUGCAAGGUUAAGGUAUUAUUUUACGAGAUGCAGUAUAUGCUUUAAAUCAGGGGCCAAUAUAUGUUGCCAUUUCCCCCAUGGUCAGACUGCAGGGGUCCAGGAACGAAGGGUUGGAGGUGAGAGUGGCUCUCUCACAAUUAACCUAAAACUCAUUUAUAAACUUUUGCUUCUUGUCCCUACAAUC